UUUGUGCAGCGUCACUGCAGGGUCAUUUAUAUACCUGGACAGGUGACAUGAGAUCUCUAUAACUCCUGUCUGCUCCAGCACUGACCAUGAAGCUCUCUAAAAUAACUGGCAGAUGUUAUGUAAUAUUCAUCAUUGCCUUGAUAUGUGACGUUGCUGGAUUUAUAAUGUUGCUCCUGGGCAUUCUUGCUAAGUUUGAAUCGUUUGACUUUUUUAUCUACUCUGGGGCUGUGGUUAUCGCACUGAGCCUUGUCUUCUGGAUGCUCUGGUACACGUUCAACGUGGAAAUUACCUAUGAAGAACUGGGCCUAGAUUUGUAAAUGAUUCCCCUGGCACUUGCUGACAAUAGGUGCAAUAUGCAGAAGGUUACAGUGCAAGUCUAUCGGGUUCUUUACAGAAGAUCAUCUUGAGAAAACUGUGGUGAUAUUACUCAUUUUUUUAUUUUGAAGGAAAUAUUUUUUUUUAUCAAUGUGUUACUUGAAGAAAACAUUUUUUUAUAUGAUGGCGGAUAUGAAGGAUAUUUAUUAAGGUUACAAUAAAAGAAAAUGACAGCAACCACAACUACUGAUAUAGAAAAGAAUUGGAAGUGAAUGGAACAAGAUAAGUGAAGAAUUACAAGAUUAAACUAAAUGCAGUGCCAUGGAGUGGCGUCUACUGAAUAUAAACUGAGUUCAGCAUCUACGUGCCAGCCUGAAUAUGCAUCGUCAUCACAGGGUGUAUAAAGCUAGCUGCAAACACUAUGGCUUCAUAUUCUCCAGGACCGAAGCUGAGUGAUUAUCAAAUCCUCACUGACAUGGAGAGAAAUCAUGGCAAAAAAACAGGGGGUUCUCAGCAUUAAAGUGUAACGUAGAUGUCUCGCCUUCACCCUGUAUAGCGAGAUAAACUAAACUAAAAUUUGCCUCUAAAAUUCUUUAAGAGCUCCGACAGUACCGAAGAAUCUUCUUAGAUAAUCUCGUUAGACCACCGCUCAUCCACUGAUCGGCCUAUUUCCUCUGAUUCUACAGCCCAGAACAACGGAAAUGAAAGCACUUACCUUCACCCAUGAAGACUUAUUACCUGCUCCGCUAAAUCACUCACCAGUGCCAAAACACAACCUGCUUUUCUCCAUAAGGACAUCUGCAAUCACAAAAUACAUUUCAAAUGUUGAAGGAUGUAGAGAAAAAUAUGAAGUACAAAAGAAAUUAUCUACCUCACCUUAUUGACUGCAACGUGAAGGAUUUGUGGAAUGAAAACACUAACAAAAAAAGCAUUUUAUAAUAUAAACUUCACAACAAUUUGUUCUAUAAAUUACCUAUUAUCCAUAAUAAUUUCAAUACAUGUACAUUUCUGUAUCAGAUCUAAUAUAUAUAUAUAUAUAUAUAUACACACUGAUAUACACUGAUAAUAAGCAUGCUGCACUUUAUAAUUAUAUUGUGUAUACGCUGGCAGUGAUGUGAGGUUCUAUAUACCCUGAGUACACUGCUCUGUAUAAAUAUCAUACAUAUGCUGGGUGAUGGAAUAUUUAUGCACUAAUAGUGACCACGCUGCACUGUAUAAUGAUAAUAAGUAUCUAUACACUGAUCAGACCACGCUGCACUGUAUAAUGAUAAUGAGCAUCUAUACACUAAUAAUGAGCACGCUGCACUGUAUAAUGAUAAUGAGUAUCUAUACACUGAUCAGACCACGCUGCACUGUAUAAUGAUAAUAAGUAUCUAUACACUGAUAGUGACCACGCUGCACUGUAUAAUGAUAAUAAGUAUCUAUACACUGAUAGUGACCACGCUGCACUGUAUAAUGAUAAUAAGUAUCUAUACACUGAUCAGACCACGCUGCACUGUAUAAUGAUAAUGAGCAUCUAUACACUAAUAAUGAGCACGCUGCACUGUAUAAUGAUAAUAAGUAUCUAUACACUGAUAGUGACCACGCUGCACUGUAUAAUGAUAAUAAGUAUCUAUACACUGAUCAGACCACGCUGCACUGUAUAAUGAUUAUGAGUAUCUAUACACUGAUCAGACCACGCUGCACUGUAUAAUGAUAAUAAGUAUCUAUACACUGAUCAGACCACGCUGCACUGUAUAAUGAUAAUGAGCAUCUAUACACUGAUAGUGACCACGCUGCACUGUAUAAUGAUAAUGAGCAUCUAUACACUGAUAGUGACCACGCUGCACUGUAUAAUGAUAAUGAGCAUCUAUACACUAAUAAUGAGCACGCUGCACUGUAUAAUGAUAAUGAGCAUCUAUACACUGAUAGUGACCACGCUGCACUGUAUAAUGAUAAUGAGCAUCUAUACACUGAUCAGACCACGCUGCACUGUAUAAUGAUAAUAAGUAUCUAUACACUGAUAGUGACCACGCUGCACUGUAUAAUGAUAAUGAGCAUCUAUACACUGAUAGUGACCACGCUGCACUGUAUAAUGAUAAUAAGCAUCUAUACACUGAUAGUGACCACGCUGCACUGUAUAAUGAUAAUAAGUAUCUAUACACUGAUCAGACCACGCUGCACUGUAUAAUGAUAAUGAGUAUCUAUACACUGAUAGUGACCACGCUGCACUGUAUAAUGAUAAUAAGUAUCUAUACACUGAUCAGACCACGCUGCACUGUAUAAUGAUAAUAAGUAUCUAUACACUGAUCAGACCACGCUGCACUGUAUAAUGAUAAUGAGCAUCUAUACACUGAUAGUGACCACGCUGCACUGUAUAAUGAUAAUGAGCAUCUAUACACUGAUCAGACCACGCUGCACUGUAUAAUGAUAAUGAGUAUCUAUACACUGAUAGUGACCACGCUGCACUGUAUAAUGAUAAUAAGUAUCUAUACACUGAUCAGACCACGCUGCACUGUAUAAUGAUAAUGAGUAUCUAUACACUGAUAGUGACCACGCUGCACUGUAUAAUGAUAAUAAGUAUCUAUACACUGAUCAGACCACGCUGCACUGUAUAAUGAUAAUAAGUAUCUAUACACUGAUCAGACCACGCUGCACUGUAUAAUGAUAAUGAGCAUCUAUACACUGAUCAGACCACGCUGCACUGUAUAAUGAUAAUAAGUAUCUAUACACUGAUCAGACCACGCUGCACUGUAUAAUGAUAAUAAGUAUCUAUACACUGAUCAGACCACGCUGCACUGUAUAAUGAUAAUGAGUAUCUAUACACUGAUAGUGACCACGCUGCACUGUAUAAUGAUAAUAAGUAUCUAUACACUGAUCAGACCACGCUGCACUGUAUAAUGAUAAUGAGCAUCUAUACACUGAUAGUGACCACGCUGCACUGUAUAAUGAUAAUGAGCAUCUAUACACUGAUAGUGACCACGCUGCACUGUAUAAUGAUUAUGAGCAUCUAUACACUGAUCAGACCACGCUGCACUGUAUAAUGAUAAUGAGCAUCUAUUCACUGAUAGUGACCACGCUGCACUGUAUAAUGAUAAUGAGCAACUAUACACUAAUAAUGAGCACACUGCACUGUAUAAUGAUAAUAAGUAUCUAUACACUGAUCAGACCACGCUGCACUGUAUAAUGAUAAUAAGUAUCUAUACACUGAUAGUGACCACACUGCACUGUAUAAUGAUAAUAAGUAUCUAUACACUGAUCAGACCACGCUGCACUGUAUAAUGAUAAUGAGCAUCUAUACACUGAUAGUGACCACGCUGCACUGUAUAAUGAUAAUAAGUAUCUAUACACUGAUCAGACCACGCUGCACUGUAUAAUGAUAAUGAGCAUCUAUACACUGAUCAGACCACGCUGCACUGUAUAAUGAUAAUGAGCAUCUAUACACUAAUAAUGAGCACGCUGCACUGUAUAAUGAUAAUGAGGAACUAUACACUAAUAAUGAGCACGCUGCACUGUAUAAUGAUAAUAAGUAUCUAUACACUGAUCAGACCACGCUGCACUGUAUAAUGAUAAUGAGCAACUAUACACUAAUAAUGAGCACGCUGCACUGUAUAAUGAUAAUGAGCAUCUAUACACUAAUAAUGAGCACACUGCACUGUAUAAUGAUAAUAAGUAUCUAUACACUGAUAGUGACCACGCUGCACUGUAUAAUGAUAAUAAGUAUCUAUACACUGAUCAGACCACGCUGCACUGUAUAAUGAUAAUAAGUAUCUAUACACUGAUCAGACCACGCUGCACUGUAUAAUGAUAAUAAGUAUCUAUACACUGAUCAGACCACGCUGCACUGUAUAAUGAUAAUGAGCAUCUAUACACUAAUAAUGAGCACGCUGCACUGUAUAAUGAUAAUGAGCAUCUAUUCACUGAUAGUGACCACAAACACACGCCUAUGUAUAGACUGGCUGCUAUGGGCCCCCAGCCCUUGGGCCCUGGUGCCUUUGUGUCUGCUGCACCAGCUAGUUCUGACCCUAGUACAUUUCUAAAGCAUCAAUACCUAACUUACAAAACUUGCUCCAUACAUUUCAGUAAGGUCAAUUGCUCCAUAACAUCAGAGCUGUCAUUAUAUGAUUUCUGCAGCCCAUGCAGACGUCUAACCCCUAAGGAUCGUCUACAGCAUUUCAGCAGAGCUAAAGUCAGAAGAAACCGCUUUGUGUAAGAGUAAAGCUCAAUACUCUUCUGUGAUCUUUCACACUACACCCACUGUAUUAAAGCACUUUAUAAGGUUAAAACCUCUCACUCACUGACGGCUCCGUACAUUUCCAUCUGGUGUCUCCCAUUACGUUCUAUAGGGAAUCAUAUGCUGUUCUCAUAUCCACUUCUAUAGCAGCAAAUCUCAGAUCAUUUGUUUACAUUGAUAUCAUUGCUAUUUUCAUUUUAUAAUUCUAGAAGAUUCUUGUAUUUAUUAUUUAUUUAUUUGCAGAGAUUUUUGUAUUUACUCUUCUGUGUCUUUGGGAUUUUUUUCUACUUUUAGGAAACGACUUGAAUAAAAUAUUUUCAAAUA